UUAUAUUUUGUCAUUAUUACCAUUUAACAAAAACCCUCCAUCUUCAGCCUUUCCCCCUACUCACGGCUUUUCUUAAUUACACCUGCUUUGGCAUUUUCUUAAAUCGUGAUGGAGGAAUUAAUCUCUGGACAAACAUAAAAACGAUCUAAAAGAUAAAAUUUUCCUCACCAGAGUUUGCUCUUGUGCGCCAUUCGUGCUUUAUUUUCAUCAAAAAUGGGCGGUGCAGGCGAAAACGGGAACGGAGGAGGAGGGAUACAACCAUCGGGUGUGGCGAAGGUACUGUACUCGGUGGCGAGGAUUUCGGUAUGGUGGGAUAUAGAAAACUAUCAAGUACUAGAAUUGGACUUGAUCAUGUUCCUGCAGGCACUUAAUAGUACUGGAAUUGGACUUGAUCAUGUCCCUGCAGCGUUGUGCACAAUUGGUUAGACAGCUAGCUUCGCUGGAGCUGAACUUGCUUCCAGGUGUUCCAGUGAUACAUUUAUCCCAGCAAGCACUUGUAAGUUUUCCAACAAUUGAGGAGCAAAAAUUAGUAAGAUGAAGACACAAACCAUAAUGUGUUUUAUGAAUUGCUCAACACCAGAAGGAGCUACUUAAUCAAAUUUAUAAGGAAUGCAAGCUCUGCACUCAUGUAGCUUAAGAUUCCAAAGCACUCUGAAUUUCUUAGCUUAAUAUGGCAAAGAGGAAAAGGCAAUGAACAAGAUCUGAACGAUCCUCACAAAUAUGUAUCAUUGUGAAAAGGCAGGGAAGGGUUGACAACAAUGUGUGAAUUUCAUCGCGAAGGAGCUGGAAAGACAAAGAUUGAAACCUAUGCAACCAAAAAAGGCAAACAACUCAGGUGGUUUCAAGGAAGAGGAAUAUUUGUUGAACAAGGAUGAAUGUCCAAUUGGAACUAUGCCUAUACGCAAAGUAACACAGAAAACAACUCAAGUGCUAGAGAAGCCUCCUCGAGAUUGGCUCAUUAAUACUUUGGAUAUAAAUGGAUUGAUAUAAUCUUCCUUGAGUUGAUGUUAUCAUGUAUACAUACCUAUAUAAAUAUCUACAGUUAUGUAUUUUGAUUUGGUUUUGUAAUUACGAGUUUAAAACUCAAUAGUACUUAUAUACGUAAGUUAAUCUGCUUAUAGUAAGAUGUUCUGGAUUUUUUUAA